GAUGAACGCUAGCGGCAGGCUUAAUACAUGCAAGUCGAGGGGCAGCACGGGUAGCAAUACCUGGUGGCGACCGGCAAACGGGUGCGGAACACGUACGCAACUUUCCCAAAACUGGUGAAUAGCCCUCCGAAAGGAGGAUUAAUACACCGUAACAUAAUGAAGUGGCAUCACUUUAUUAUUAUAGCUCCGGCGGUUUUGGAUGGGCGUGCGCCUGAUUAGGUAGUUGGCGGGGUAACGGCCCACCAAGCCUUCGAUCAGUAACUGGUGUGAGAGCACGACCAGUCACACGGGCACUGAGACACGGGCCCGACUCCUACGGGAGGCAGCAGUAAGGAAUAUUGGGUCAAUGGACGCAAGUCUGAACCAGCCAUGCCGCGUGAAGGAUGAAGGUCCUCUGGAUUGUAAACUUCUUUUAUCUGGGACGAAAAAAGGGAAUUCUUUCUCACUUGACGGUACCAGAGGAAUAAGCACCGGCUAACUCCGUGCCAGCAGCCGCGGUAAU
rnacentral:rRNA from 1 species